rnacentral:rRNA from 1 species
UGAGGAAUAUUGGUCAAUGGGCGAGAGCCUGAACCAGCCAAGUCGCGUGAAGGAUGAAGGUUCUAUGGAUUGUAAACUUCUUUUGUCCGAGGGUAAAAAAGGCCACGUGUGGUUUCUUGCAAGUAUCGGACGAAUAAGCAUCGGCUAACUCCGUGCCAGCAGCCGCGGUAAUACGGAGGAUGCGAGCGUUAUCCGGAUUUAUUGGGUUUAAAGGGUGCGUAGGUGGUUUGUUAAGUUUGUGGUGAAAGCGUGCGGCUCAACCGUACCAAGCCAUGAAAACUGGCGAACUUGAGUGCAAACGAGGUAGGCGGAAUGUGAUGUGUAGCGGUGAAAUGCUUAGAUAUGUCACAGAACCCCGAUUGCGAAGGCAGCUUACCAGCAUGCAACUGACACUGAGGCACGAAAGCGUGGGUAUCAAACAGG